AGAGUUUGAUCCUGGCCUCAGGAUGAACGCUGGCGGCGCUGCCUAACACAUGCAAGUCGAGCGAUUCUCUUCGGAGAAGAGCGGCGGACGGGUGAGUAACGCGUGGGUAACCUGCCCUGUACACACGGAUAACAUACCGAAAGGUAUGCUAAUACGGGAUAAUGUACUUUUGUCGCAUGGCAAAAGUAUCAAAGCUCCGGCGGUACAGGAUGGACCCGCGUCUGAUUAGCUAGUUGGAGAGGUAAUGGCUCACCAAGGCAACGAUCAGUAGCCGACCUGAGAGGGUGAUCGGCCACAUUGGAACUGAGACACGGUCCAAACUCCUACGGGAGGCAGCAGUGGGGAAUAUUGCACAAUGGGCGAAAGCCUGAUGCAGCAACGCCGCGUGAGCGAUGAAGGCCUUCGGGUCGUAAAGCUCUGUCCUCAAGGAAGAUAAUGACGGUACUUGAGGAGGAAGCCCCGGCUAACUACGUGCCAGCAGCCGCGGUAAUACGUAGGGGGCUAGCGUUAUCCGGAAUUAUUGGGCGUAAAGGGUGCGUAGGCGGUCCUACAAGUCAGAGGUGAAAGGCUACGGCUCAACCGUAGUAAGCCUUUGAAACUGUAGGACUUGAGUGCAGGAGAGGAGAGUGGAAUUCCCAG
rnacentral:rRNA from 1 species